UUUUGGACGAGAGUAAAAUGAAGUUAAUGAAACUUUCACCUAUAACAGACUCACAAGUCGACAGACAUCAGUCUCGUGACAGCUUUGUCAACUUGAUGAGCAAAUCUAUUUCAAGAAAUUUUCUCAUCUGUAAUUUUUGACCCCCAACAAAGCAAAAUUUUACCCCCCUGGAUUUGUCGUAUUACAACCCAUUUCAUAAUCCAGUUGAAAAGUUCCAAUCUUGGUUAUAAAUUUAUGACCUGCUGAGAAAAUGAUGGGUUGAUCUUUCAUCAAGAAUAAUUAAGCCCAGGUCACGAACAAAUCCAUUAAAAUGCUCAAGAACCAUCAACUCAGUUCACUCUUCAGCCUAAGCCUGAGCCACCACCAGCCACCACCGCAGAAACCGCCUCAGCCACCAAAACCGCCUCCAUCAGCAGACCCCAAAAUCCAAUUCAAAGAUUAGAACUCAAUAAUAUUAUAGGAAAGCCCUUUGAGGAUGUGAGUUCAAAAUACACAUUUGGGAAAGAAUUGGGGAGGGGGCAAUUUGGGGUAACUUACGUCUGCACUGAGAAUUCAACUGGCCACACCUAUGCCUGUAAAUCUAUAUACAAGUCUUAUAAGAAAUUCAUUUUUAGGCUUUCUUUUAUAUUGGGAAGUGCUUAUGAAUACUGAUUUUGGGCUAUCUGUUUUUAUUGAAGAGGGGAAGGAGUACCGUGAUAUAAUUGGCAGUGCGUAUUAUGUUGCUCCUGAAGUAUUAAAGCGAAGUUAUGAAAGGAAAUAGAUGUGCGGAGUGCAGGUGUUAUUUUAUAAAUUCUACUCGGUGGUAUGCCUUCAUUUUGGGCUGAAAUUGAGAAGGGGAUAUUUGACACUGCACUGAAAGCGGAAGUUGACUUUGGUCACCACAUGUGGCCCUCCAUUAUCCAUAUCUAAUAGUGCCAAAUACAUUGCCCUUCGACACAUAAUUCAGUGGUGUAAAGGACAGGAGUGAGGUAGUCUCAACCUUACUGACAACCGCAGUAAAAGGGUUUGAUUUUUGAGAUAUGGAAUUGGACUCCUUGUAGACACCAGUGUACGGACAAGUUCUUAUUCCCUGGCCUGUUGGGGCACAUCCCACUAUUUACCUUCCUCACGGUGCUCCAAAGACAGAGCGGUGGGAGCCCUCAAUGUUGGGUUUCAACCUUUUUUAAAUAUGUUGUUCAAAAAUCAAAAGAUGCUGACAGAGGAUCCAAAGAAGAGAAUUACUUCAGCAGAAGUACUAGGUGAUUGCACAAAAAAUUAAUCCGAGGAAGAAAUUAAAGGUCUUAAAGCAAUGUCUGCAAAUAUGGACACAGUUAAGAGCCGUACAAUCACUUAUGAGGAACUGAAAUCUGGAAUAGUCCAUCUUGGCUUGAAACAAUCUGACGCUGAAGUGAAGCAACUCAUGGAAGCUGUAAGUUUCAUUUCAUUAUUGGAAAAAGGUUAUUCAAUCAUUUGUUCUUCGUGCUUCAUCGGCUUUAACAACGUAUGCUUCAGGCUGAUAUGGAUGGCAACAAGACAAUCAAUUACAUUGAAAUUAUUACUGCUACAAUGCACAGGCAUAAGUUCAAAAGAGACGAGCAUAUGUUUAAAGCUUUUCAGUAUUUUGACUAGGAUAACAGUAGGUAAGUGCUUCGCGCGGGUAGUCGCUAACAA